UAAAAAAGACAUUAUAGGUCAAGUAGAUCAAUAUUUUAAUAUGGUAACUACUUAGUGCACACCCCUGCAUUAGUUGUUUGCAAGUAAGGAAAAUAGGAAAUAGCAGUUAGGGUUAUCUUAUUCCAAAGGAAAAGACCCAAUAUAAAUAAAUUAUGCAAUAGCUGGGAUAUUCGAAUCUUAAAACAAUAGGUGUUUUACUGUAUGAACUGAAAUGUUAAUCGCAAGAGUUAAAGAAAUCGGAAAAAACCUUCAUUUUAUCACAAAAAGAUCUCCAGAUCUCAAUAGAACAAUAAAGACAAAGCAUGGAAUUAUUCAUCCUGAGCCAAAGAAAGUGUCAUUUGGAAUAUUAAGAGUACUUUUGACUAUAGCCUCAGGGCUGUUCGUUGGUGCCAUGAUAAGUAAAAAUAUUGCAAAUUUCCUAGAGGAGAAUGACUUAUUUGUACCUUCUGAUGAUGACGACGAUGAUGACUAAUAGAAUAAACUUUUUAUAUAACUAAAAUAUUCAAAUUUUCAUUGAAAACUAAGCUUCCUCCUCUGAAUGUUACUAUUUCUUGCCUCUGCAUCUUUUUACUAUAUACAAAAAUUGAGGUCAAUAUGCCUCUCUAUUCUAGUCAUAAACUAAUUAAACAUAUACAGCCAAAAACACAUUUAUAAUGUUCCCUAUUUUGUACAAAAUGAAAUGUAAAUGCUUUGUUAUAUAUUUUAUUGAAUGUUAUAAAAAUUAUAAAUAAAUUAUUAAUGUCAACAA